rnacentral:lncRNA from 1 species
AUGCCCUGCCAGGGCCCCACUGUGGCAACCCAGAAGCAGACGUUGGCCAAGCUCUGGAAGAGGCGGCCCUCCCACAGAACCUUCGGAGCGCACACAGCAGGUGUGGCAUAUUGCCAUCGGUCCUGUGGGGCAGAGAGAGGAAAAGUCGACCUUCAGGUUCUGGAAGCCCUGGUGGGACCCAGUGGCCAGCCUUGGGAGAGCACUCAGGCCGCACCACCCCCCAGGCUUGCUCCGAAGGUCAGUGGGUAGCAGGGGGAGGAGGAAGCGGAGGAGGGAGAGCUGUGGGAGGAGGAAAAGGGGUUACUGUCCUCGUGACUGUUGUGGGGUCUGACAAAGAGCCUUGUGGCUUGGCAGCGUCCUGAGUGCUGGAAUUUCUGGGGUCCAAGGUAUCAUCACAACAAGGUAACUACUUCUAUUACUGUUAUCAUUACAAAUAGUAGCUAAUGCUUCUUGAGCACUUAAAAAGUGCCAAGUGCUUUAUAUACAUCUCUCCUUUCAAUCCCCUCCUUUUUUUUUUUCCCAUGCCACGUGGCAUGUGAAGUCUUAGUUCCCUGACCAGGGGUCAAACUCAUGCCCUCUGCAGAGGAAGCACGGCGUCUUAACCCCUGAACCACCAGGAAAGGCCCCUUUUAAUCCUUUCAGUGUAGAGUUAUGUGUACCCCAUGUACAUGUGAGAGGCUCACAUAUGUGCAGUUAGGCCCCUGACUACAAUAUUCCCCCAAGCUCUGCCUAAUUUGGACUCCCUAGUGGUUCAUUUGGGGGCCUGCGUGGUGCCAGGCUCUGUUGGAUCCUGAAAUAUACAAAUUGGUGUGGUACAUUCUCUGCAUUGUCUCAGCAGGUUAGUAAUCAAUCGCCUGCUUAUUCAAACCAGUGUUCAUUGUUCUAUGUCAUAUUUUAAGGUGCUCCAAAUAGGUAAAUGUGUAAAUAAAAUUUCAUUUGUUUUGCUGCUCAGCAAAACUUGGCAAGUUAGGUUCACUAAAAUUCAGACUAAAUUAACAAAAAGAAAAAAGAGCUUUAAAAAUUAUCUUUGGUUCCACCAUUACAUUGAACCUGUUGACAUCUGAGCACACGACUUUUUACAGAAUACAUUCACAUGUGACUACCAUAGAGUAGGUACUCAAAGAAAAGUUAAAUUGUUAUAAAAUAACAUAUUGUUUUGUAAACUGUACCCUCCUUCACACACUUGAUAAUUAAUGAGAUCAUGUUCCAGGUCCAUGAAUGCACAGCUAUUUCUAAUGUCUUUUUUCACCAUUAGAGGGUGAGGUGGUGUGUGUAUCAAUUUUUUUCCGUAUAUUUUGCAUUUCUUUUGUGAAUUGCUUAAUUGUAUCUUUGGCCUGUUUUUCCUUUGGUUUGUUAUUCUUUGUGACCACUUAUUUUUUAAGGAAUUAAAAACUUUUUUUCAAGUUUAUGCACAAAAUUUUUAAAGUCAAAGAUAAUUGAAAGUUUUACAAUGAAAUAUAGCAGUCCCUCAUCCUUUCUUUCUUCCUGUGAGUUUCCCAGAAAUAGCCCUUUCAACUCUUCCAGCUGUUUCUUUUGUUAUUUAUCACCAUAUCUCUUUUUUAUUUUAGUAUAUAAAAGUAUUUUAUUCAUUUAAAAUGUAAAAAUAAUCUAUAUUCAUUAUCAAAUAUUCAAAAGCUACAAAAGUAUGUUAAGAAAAAUGUUAAAGCUCUUUACAGCAUCUUCAGUGCUACUUUUCAGGGGUAAAUUACAUUACCACUAUGAUUUUAUAACCACAUCUAAAUAAUAUUAUGAUAUUUCUUGAUGCAUUAAUUUCGAAUAUUAUUUGUUAACUUUCUACUAACUUUCUCGGUAGAGAUGACUGUCUUGACUACUUGUCUUCUCAUCAGUAGUCAAUACUUACGCUGUUGGAGCUAUGCCCAUCUUGUUCACGGCGAUGGAUGGAGGGCACUAUGGUUGCCUUUCUUUCCUUACACCCCUCUGGUAUUCUUGGAGUUAGGCUUUGCCUAGAUUCUUUUCAUUGGUUUAGACUUCACUGUGGUUCUUGCCGUUGCUUUCCACACUCUUCAGGCACUUCUUAGUGUACUUCGAGCCCUUCAAGACUUUUCCUCAAGGUCAAACGUGUCAGACAAUUUGCCAGCACAAUGUUUUUUCCCCUCAAGUCUCCAUCCUUCUGCUCUGUCUGGACAGGUUGCCUUAUGGACCUGAUGGAUGCAUAGCAGUCAUCCCGAAUCAUCUGUCCACCUCUGUGUUGGCUUGAGUCUCUUGUUCCCGGAUCCCAUGAGGGCACCUCCCUUGAUUGAGUCCCUCAUUUGGGUGCCAGUUAUCUUUGAAAACUGUACCAUGCUUUCUUUCUUUCCUUCCUUCCCUUCCUCCCCAACUCCCCCCCACUUCCUUCCCUCUUCUCCUUCUCCUCCUGCCUGAGUACUAUAUGGCAGAAGGACAGGGAAGGGCUCCCUGACAACCUCAGCCUUCUCUCUGUUGUCUCAAGUGCAUCCUACAAAGGGCCCCUGAAAGUGGAGUUUAGUCCUCAGAUCCACCCCCAGAAAGCAGAGUCACCUCCUUCCCCUCUGUUCCUCCCCAUCUGUUUUUCUCUUGCCCUGGACUGCUAGUUUCUGGGUUUUGUUUGUUUGUUUUUGGCCAUACCAUAUGGCUUUUGGGAUCUUCAUUCCCUGAUCAGAGAUCGAACCCACCCCUCAUCAGUGAAAGUGCAGAAUCCUAUCUUAUUGGACCUCCAGGGAAUUCCCUGGGAGUUUCUGGACCUCAAUUAGUUUUCCUUUCUCUGCCACUCCCUCAGCUUAGGCACUCCUGGCCUCCGAGCCAUCGUCCCUGUACCCACACUUGUCCCCCUGCUGACCGAUCCUCCUGGGUAUGGCAGAGGGCACUCUGCAAACCCAGAUCUGAGUGGUUUUGUGUGUAAAAGCCGACACUGUCACAUCUCUAUGCUGUUGCACAGACUCUUGGCCUGAAUGCCUUUCCCCCUUUCUCUAGCUGAUGAACUCUCUUCUUUCAAUGUCUGGCUCAAGUAUCUACUCCUCCAAUAAGCCUCCCAGUCUGUCCUGUUGGCAUGAAGCAGAUUCUGCAGCAGUUUAUAUGAUGCUUUUUUGUAAUCCCAGUUCUUGUCUGCCUUGGGCCAGAUCCUGACACCAACUAGCUGAGUCCCAGGUCACCUUCCCUCAGCUCCUGCAUCUGCACGCUCCCUGGGGAGAAGAACCCGGCUGUGCUCCACACCGACUGUGCGCCAUGCCCUCUACUGAGAAUUUUCCAUACACAAUACAAUUAUACACAGGCUCUAAGUCCUUCAGCAACAUCCCUCUGUGCUGCGUGCGCUUUUGACAGUCUGGGCAGGGCGUGGGGUGAGCAGUGACUUGGCGGAGAUGGGGGAAGAUGAGUGAGAGGGCAUCUGUUACUGAUUUGCCCAUAGGUCCCCUGGGCUCUUUACCUGGCUUGGGAAAUUCUCUUCCCCUGAGGCUGUCGAGCGAUUAAAGAGCAAGACACUUGCUUCCUCAGCUUCCCUAGCGGCCAAGUAUAGGCAUGUGACCUGGGAUCGGCCAAUCAGAUGCCCCUGCUCUGGUCUUGGAGUCAGGAUGGGGGAAGGGGAAUGACUCUAGGGAUGGGCAGUGGCUACAUCCUGUUUCUGGGGAACAGCCGCCUCUGUGGGGCCAAUAGCACAGUCCAGUGUUUGGAGUCCAGUUCAGACGUCAGCGGGGAGAAGAGAGUCAUCUAGGGUUCCGGGGGGCCCUUGGGUUCUCAAGAAGCAGCUCUGGGGUGUGGAUUUGUCAGCCUUCCCCACAGUGGAGUUCUCCAGCCCACUGUCGAUUCUACGACCUACCCAGGGUCCUGUCAGAACUUCCCUUUUGUGCUUAACUCAGCUAGACUGGCUUCCCAGGUGCUGCAGUGCUAAAUAAUCCACCUGCCAAUUCAGGAGCUUCAAGAGACAGCGGGUUCGAUCCCUGGGAUGGGAAGAUCCCCUGGAGGAGGAAAUGGCAACCCACUCCAGUAUUCUUGCCUGGAAAAUUCCAUGGACAGAGGAGCCUGGUGGGUAGCUGACAGCCAUGGGCUCUCAAAGAGUCUGACUCGACUGAGCAUGAGCACACACAGCUAGAACAAUCUUUUGUAGGUUGCAGCUACAGGAAGGGCAUAGGGCAUGGUUGGCUCCCAAGCCAUCCCACUGGGACAGGAGACCUGGGCGUCUCUGCCCCUCCUGACAGUGACCAUGGCCAUGGCAUGUUCCCGACCUGGGUGGUCACUCAG